UGGAGAAUCUUGCGCAAUGGGCGAAAGCCUGACGCAGCCACGCCGCGUGUGUGAUGAAGGCCUUCGGGUCGUAAAGCACUGUCGGGAGGGACGAAACCUUCGGGUUGACGGUACCUCGCAAGAAAGCACCGGCUAACUCCGUGCCAGCAGCCGCGGUAAUACGGAGGGUGCAAGCGUUGCUCGGAUUUACUGGGCGUAAAGCGAGCGCAGGCGGCUAAUCAAGUCGGGUGUGAAAGCCCGGGGCUCAACCCCGGAGGUGCAUCCGAAACUGAUUAGCUUGAGUACGGUAGAGGGAAGCGGAAUUCCAGGUGUAGAGGUGAAAUUCGUAGAUAUCUGGAGGAACAUCAGUGGCGAAGGCGGCUUCCUGGUCCGAUACUGACGCUCAUGCUCGAAAGCGUGGGGAGCAAACAGG
rnacentral:rRNA from 1 species